CACAUCUCCAAGAAUUGCUAAUUAAACUGAAUCAGCUACUAUCACAAUUGCUACAAAAAACUUUACAAGAAACCAUAAUUUUUAACAUUUUCUAACACCAUAUCCAAGGAAGAUAAAAGGCUGAAUUCUAAGCGUUCUUAUUUUACGGACAGGUGACUGAUUUCCUUCGACAACAAAGAAAAUGAAAAUUGAACAAUUUCACCUCAAUGAAAGAUCUCUGCUGUCUUAUUAGCAGCUAGGAAGGUAGCACACUAGCACUUAAGCAUUUCCCAUUGAAUCAUCAUGCAAUUGGGCAGAUCUCAAAUAGCUUUCCUCCGAGCCAUGGUAAAAUUUAGAGUGCAGAAAAAAUCCCUUUGACCCCAUUCAUGUAUUGUUGGAUGAUUUCCAUAAUAGCCAUUUUGAGUAGGUAGAAUUGUUCCACUGGCCUCGUCCCUGAAUGGUCCGUUGGUUCCCAUAGUAGUUUUUGUUCGUGGGCGACAUCAAAUUCAACUGUACCAUUCCGUUAACCCUUUUCUAAUCCUGAACCAAGGGAGGGUGAGAGGAAAAGGUGAUCGUGAGGGCUUUUUGGACCUUUCCCACCUCACUCCUCCUCCU
rnacentral:lncRNA from 1 species